rnacentral:rRNA from 1 species
CUGAACCAGCCAAGUAGCGUGAAGGAUGACUGCCCUAUGGGUUGUAAACUUCUUUUAUAUGGGAAUAAAGUAUUCCACGUGUGGGAUUUUGUAUGUACCAUAUGAAUAAGGAUCGGCUAACUCCGUGCCAGCAGCCGCGGUAAUACGGAGGAUCCGAGCGUUAUCCGGAUUUAUUGGGUUUAAAGGGAGCGUAAGUGGAUUGUUAAGUCAGUUGUGAAAGUUUGCGG